rnacentral:tRNA from 1 species
AAUAAUAUGGUGUAGUGGUUAUCACUCCUGAUUCAUACUCAGGAGAUCUCCAGUUUGAUUCUUGGCCAUAUUC